GCCGUCUUAGCUCAGAGGUAGAGCGCAUGGCUUUUAACCAUGUGGUCGUGGGUUCGGAUCCCCACAGACGGCG
rnacentral:tRNA from 1 species